rnacentral:tRNA from 1 species
UCCGCGGUGGCGCAGUGGUAGCGCAGGCGCCUGUUAAGCGCUUGGUCGUAGGUUCGAAUCCUACCCGCGGAGCCA